rnacentral:tRNA from 1 species
UCCCUGAUAGCUCAGUUGGUAAAGAAUCUGCUUGCAAUGCAGGAGACCCUGGUUCAAUCCCUAGGUCGGGAA